UUGUGGUUCGUGUGUCCAGAAUGAUGACAAAGAUGAGUGUGUCCUGUACGAUUGCUUUUAGGCACCGGCUAGGAAGCAAGCCCACCUUGUCCUGGUGCUCUCAGAAUAAGCCUGGAGGAGAACCUUAGCAAUAAGAGCUGAUGUAUCCUAGUCUACAACUUGCAGCCGAGGUAUCUCUUUCUUCCUUUAAUGUGUGAGUGGAAGGAGAGCAAGUUCUUUCAAUCCUUGGUGUUCAUGUGGAGUCCGCUCUC